UACAGAGGGGGCGAGCGUUGUUCGGAAUUACUGGGCGUAAAGGGCGCGUAGGCGGCCAACUAAGUCAGACGUGAAAUCCCUCGGCUCAACCGGGGAACUGCGUCUGAUACUGGAUGGCUUGAAUUCGGGAGAGGGAUGCGGAAUUCCAGGUGUAGCGGUGAAAUACGUAGAUAUCUGGAGGAACACCGGUGGCGAAGGCGGCUACCUGGCCCAACAUUGACACUGAGACCCGAAAGCGUGGGGAUCAAACAGG
rnacentral:rRNA from 1 species